UACGUAGGUCCCGAGCGUUAUCCGGAUUUAUUGGGCGUAAAGCGAGCGCAGGCGGUUAGAUAAGUCUGAAGUGAAAGGGUGGGGCUUAACCAUAAUAUGCUUUGGAAACUGUUUAACUUGAGUGCAGAAGGGGAGAGUGGAAUUCCAUGUGUAGCGGUGAAAUGCGUAGAUAUAUGGAGGAACACCGGUGGCGAAGGCGGCGCUCUGGACUGUAACUGACGCUGAGGCUCGAAAGCGUGGGGAGCAAACAGG
rnacentral:rRNA from 1 species